UGUCUGCCCUCGUCCUCAAUCCCUCAAAUCAAUCCCCUCCCCCGGCGGGGCCGUCCUCCCCUCCCCUGACGCGGCCGAAGGCCCUCAGCAGCAGCAGGACGAUGAAGCCCCUCCCCCCCCCCCCCCUCCCCCUCCCGGAGAAGCAGGAUCUAGCCGCCGCCGCCCGUCACCGUGCACGUGCUCGACGCGACCCGGCUCUCCCUCGCCCACGCGCCGCCGGGACCUUGGCCCCUGCAGCUGUCGUCAUGAAAGGAGGACUACGACGCCAAGUCCCCGCGCUGCUUCCAACGUCGCCAGGUAAGCGGCUGUCAGCAUCGAUUCCAUCCUUAGCGACAUCCAGUUCCGUCAAGUUCAUCCAUGGUGGCUGGAACAAGCGGCGGCUGCAGGUUGCGGCCGGAGAGGUUCCCUUUCGCUCAAGCCCCCUCCUGGGAUUCAUGGAUGCUAAUCUGUAGCAAGAGGGAGAGGCAAAAACUCAUGUUACUAUUUGUAUUUUGUGUCAUGAUAUUGUUGAUUUUAUCGUUGUACAAUAUAAUGGUGCUUAAUGCUACUUUGGAUAAGGCUGCCAUCCGACCGCCACCGACGACGGACUUGAAAGGCCACACAGCCAGUCAUCAGAUGAGAGCUUUUCCACAGCAGCAACAAGCAGUCCAUCCGCCUACAUGAGCUCAUUCUUCCUGUGAAGUUGGCUGGUGAGAUUUUUCAUCUCUGCCUUCUCACUAAAUCUCACUACUAUUGUCUUGAAUGCAGGUUCCUUAAAAUUAAGUCUACUCCAAUUGGCAUGAGCAACUGUGCACCUAGCUUCACAUGGAUUUCUCAACUCUUUUUUCCUAGAGAAUGAUUGUGACUUGGUGUAUAUUUUAGCUGGAGCAUUCACUCAAGUUCAGAAAUUCAGGAUCUGGAUUUGAACUAUACAUCCAAUUCAUCUUUUGUUCUUUUCUUGGAUGCUGGCGUGCAAAUCUCAUGACAUCCCUCAGGUCCAAUCACCUUUUGCAAACAAAUUGGUUCAGCUCAAAAUCAGCAUAGAAGAUGCAAACCCAUCUGACUUCUGUCACUUCUGCAGUUGAUUGCUUAAAAAGACUAUAUGUGUAGAAACUGAAGCCUUUAGAGGUGCAUACCCGUUUACCGAUUUUGCUUCCCCAUUACUGACAAACAGCAACUUCGGUGCAAAACCAAUGGUUAUGCUCUUUGGUCAAUAUUAUACAGGGAAACAACUUUGAUUAAGCACCUGUUGAAAACGAGCUACCCAGGUUUUUGGCUUUGUCUAAUACAGAAUACCUGAGUUUCAAUGUUAGGCACACCAUCCAUUUCAAUGGUAAGAUAUGCAAGAUGGCUUAUUGUACUCACUAAUGGGGUAGGCCGCAGCCUUCAUAUACGGACCAAUAACACUAGAGUGCUAUGUCCAGCUUUAUCAGUUUUAUAACAUGAAUUAUUUUGUGAAGCUAUCCUAUUAUGUGAGAUUUUGAUAAUUGUUGUUACAUUUUAGUAAUAGUGUUCCAUGUACCAAAUGAAAAACUUUGAAUUAGAAAGACUGAUUUGUGAUGUUCAGAAAAUGCACUCAAAAUCCAGAUGUUUCAAAGGUUAGCUAGAUAUUAUCACAAAUAUUUAGUAUUCAGUUCAUUUCUUCUGCUAUCAAAUUGUCUCAAAAGUCUGUAAGCAUUUCAUUAAUGAGACCAUCAGGCACUCAAAA